rnacentral:snoRNA from 1 species
UUGGGAUAUUAUCUCCGUGGUUGUUCUGAUUUAUAAUGAUGACGGUAAACGAUUCCCAUAUAUCGAUUUAAUGCUUUUACAGAGGUUGGCUGGUGUUGAAAUUUACGAAUUUCCAAAGAUACCGGCUAACUUUUGAAGGGCACUUAUAAUY